rnacentral:rRNA from 1 species
CCUGGGUAGUAUAUAGUUAUCGUCUCGAAACCCAAAGAGUUUGGCGGUAUCUCAGUCUAGUUAGAGGAGCUUGUUCGGUAAUCGAUAAUCCGCGAAAAAUCUUACGCACUCUAGUAGUCAGUUUAUAUACCGUCGUUAUUAGAUAAUACUAAAAAGUGAAAAAUUGUCUGAAUAUACCUAAAUGUAAUAUAUCAGAUCAAGGUGUAGCUUAUGAGUGUGGCUGAAUGAGCUACAAUUUAAUAAAAAAAAACGAAUAUUAUUUUUAAACAAAUGAUUGAAGGUGGAUUUAAUAGUAAUUG